CACAGGGGGUGCAAACGUUGCUCGGAAUCAUUGGGCGUAAAGCGCACGUAGGCGGUUCGUUAUGUCGGAUGUGAAAGCCCUUGGCUUAACCGAGGAAGUGCAUCCGAAACUGGCGAGCUAGAGUACUAAAGAGGAUCGCGGAAUUCCCGGUGUAGAGGUGAAAUUCGUAGAUAUCGGGAGGAACACCGGUGGCGAAGGCGGCGAUCUGGGUAGAUACUGACGCUGAGGUGCGAAAGCGUGGGGAGCAAACAGG
rnacentral:rRNA from 1 species